GCUCAGAAUGAACGCUGGCGGCGUGCCUAAUACAUGCAAGUCGAGCGCCCCUAUCAUUGUGUUUGUUAGUAUUUAGUAGUUAGCAAUUCGUAUCUAGUAUGAACUUUAGUUUAUAAGCAUACGAAAUACUAACCACUAUAUACGACAUACGAGCCCAAUGAUGGGGAGCGGCGGACGGGUGAGUAACGCGUGAGAACAUACCCCAGAGUGAGGGAUAAGCACCAGAAAUGGUGUCUAAUACCGCAUAACCUCUACGGAGAAAAGCUUCGGCGCUUUGGGAAUGGCUUGCGUUAGAUUAGCUAGUUGGUGAGGUAAAGGCUUACCAAGGCAAUGAUCUAUAGCUGGUUUGAGAGGAUGAUCAGCCACACUGGAACUGAGACACGGUCCAGACUCCUACGGGAGGCAGCAGUAGGGAAUCUUCCACAAUGGGCGAAAGCCUGAUGGAGCAACGCCGCGUGCAGGAUGAAUGCCUUCGGGUUGUAAACUGCUUUUAUAAGUGAGGAUUUUGACAGUAACUUAUGAAUAAGGAUCGGCUAACUCCGUGCCAGCAGCCGCGGUCAUACGGAGGAUCCAAGCGUUAUUCGGAAUGACUGGGCGUAAAGAGUUGCGUAGGCGGUUUGUUAAGCAUGUAGUGAAAUCUUGAGGCUCAACCUUGAGACCGUUACAUGAACUGGCAAACUAGAGUAUAUGAGGGGUAAUUGGAAUUCCCGGUGUAGGAGUGGAAUCCGUAGAUAUCGGGAGGAACACCAAUGGCGUACGCAGAUUACUGGCAUAUUACUGACGCUGAGGCACGAAAGCGUGGGGAGCGAACGGGAUUAGAUACCCCGGUAGUCCACGCCGUAAACGAUGGAUGCUAGCUUGUUUGGGGUAUCGACCCCCUGAGUAGCAAAGCUAACGCGUUAAGCAUCCCGCCUGGGGGAGUACGGUCGCAGAUUAAACUCAAA
rnacentral:rRNA from 1 species